GACGAACGCUGGCGGCGUGCCUAAUACAUGCAAGUCGAACGCAGUGGGGACGGGUGAGUAACACGUGGGUAACCUCCCAUCAGAGGGGAUAACACUUGGAAACAGGUGCUAAACCGAUACUGAUGGAUGGACCCGCUGUGCAGUAGUUGGUUGGUGGGGUAACGGCUCACCAAGGCCACGAUGCAUAGCCGACCGGAGGGAGUGAUCGGCCCCUCGGGGACUGAAACCCGGCCCAGACUCCUACGGGGGGCAGCAGUAGGGAAUCUUCGGCAAUGUACGAAGUUCUGACCGAGAAACGCCGCGUGAGUGAAGCAGGUUUUCGGAUCGUAAAACUCUGUUGUUAGAGAAGCGGUAUCUAACCAGAAAGCCACGGCUAACUACGUGCCAGCCGCCGCGGUAAUAC
rnacentral:rRNA from 1 species